rnacentral:rRNA from 1 species
GACGGACGCUGGCGGCGUGCUUAACACAUGCAAGUCGAACGGAAAGGCCCCAGCUUGCUGGGGUACUCGAGUGGCGAACGGGUGAGUAACACGUGGGUGAUCUGCCCUGCACUCUGGGAUAAGCCUGGGAAACUGGGUCUAAUACCGGAUAGGACCGUGCUUUAGUGUGUGCGGUGGAAAGUUUUUCGGUGCAGGAUGAGCCCGCGGCCUAUCAGCUUGUUGGUGGGGUAAUGGCCUACCAAGGCGGCGACGGGUAGCCGGCCUGAGAGGGUGUACGGCCACAUUGGGACUGAGACACGGCCCAGACUCCUACGGGAGGCAGCAGUGGGGAAUAUUGCACAAUGGGCGCAAGCCUGAUGCAGAGACGCCGCGUGGGGGAUGACGGCCUUCGGGUUGUAAACCCCUUUCGGCAGGGACGAAGCUUUUGUGACGGUACCUGCAUAAGAAGCACCGGCUAACUACGUG